rnacentral:rRNA from 1 species
GCGAAAAGAACCCCGGCGAGGGGAGUGAAAAAGAACCUGAAACCGUGUACGUACAAGCAGUAGGAGCCUCUUUAUGGGGUGACUGCGUACCUUUUGUAUAAUGGGUCAGCGACUUAUAUUCUGUAGCAAGGUUAACCGUAUAGGGGAGCCGUAGGGAAACCGAGUCUUAACUGGGCGAAUGAGUUGCAGGGUAUAGACCC